rnacentral:lncRNA from 10 species
GAAAUGUAAAUUAGUACAAUCACUAUGAAGAAUAGUUUGGAGGUUCCUCAAAAAGCUAAAAAUUUACUUACCAUAUGAUCCAGCAAUUCCUCUGCUGAGUAUAUACCCUGAAGAAAGGAAAUUAGUAUAGCAAAGAGAUAUCUGCACUCCCAUGUUUGUUGCAGCACUGUUUACAAUAACUAAAAUUUGGAAGCAAGCUAAGUGUCCAUUAACAGAUAAAUGGAUAAAGAAAAGGUGGUACAUAUUCACAAUGGAGCAUGAUUCUGUGAUAAAAAGAAUGUGAUUCAAUCACUUGCAACAACAUGGAUGGAACUGGAGAUCAUUUUGUUUAACAAAAUGAAUCAGAUACAGAAAGACAAACAUCGCAUGUUCUCACCUAUUUGUGGGAUCUGAAAAUCAAAGACACAUAUAUAUGAAAAGAUACCCCAUGUUCAUGAAUUGGAAGAAUUAAUAAAGUAUCCAUACUAUCCAAAGUGAUCUACAGAUUUAAUGUAAUUCCUAACAAAAUUCCAAUAUCAUUUUUCAAAAAAAUAGCAAAAAAUCCUAAAAUUAGUAUGUAACCACAAAAGUCCCCAAAUAGCAAAACCAAUCUUGAGCAAAAAGAACAAAGCCGAAGGCAUCAUACUUCAUGAUUUCAAACUAUAUUGCAAAGCUACGUAAUCAGAAUAGUAUCAUA